rnacentral:lncRNA from 1 species
UGGGCCGGGCCGCCCGUUUGGCCUGCUAUAAACGUAGCAGUACACUAGUACAGUACUACAAACUUGACGAGGGAGAGGACCGAAUAUGCAGCAAUCAGCAUUGGUAAAAGCUUAAGCGCAUGUGCGCCAAUUGACAUCCCCUGUGAUACUGCAGACGACAUGCGCAAGUAUGAGCAUUAUCAACCUUCGAGACUUCUCUCCCACCAGUACACUAACUAAAAGUUAUGUAAUGUUCCCAACCUUUUGAAAUGAAUAAAGGUUUAGGCUGGCAAAAGCCAGCCGUAGUUCCCUUCCGAAGGGUAUAAGCAUCGAGAUUUCUGACAUGGCUCUGUUUGGAUUUAAGAGAUAUUUUUUAGCCCUCUCUUAAAUAGCCCAAAUAGCUCAAAAAGAUUCAAAAGGGUGAGCUAUUUGAGAGCUAUUUGGAAAUAGCCCACCCAAAAAAACUAUCCCACCCAAGAGGGAAGAAAAUUUGGUAAGACUUAAGUCCUACGCUUAUCCGAAAGACUCUGCUUCCCGCACGACACCUGUCCGCACAAAUCUUAAGAGUAGCGAAUAUCUCUUUUGUACCCUUUCUUCUUCCUCCGGCCAGGGACUUGGCGACAAAUCCAACUCGCUCUUAGGACCGAGGGUCCAGCAUCUUCAGACGUAGCAAGGUCCGGGGGCAAGGUCUGGAGCAGAGUUUCCGGUUGCCACCGCACCCGUCAUGCUUCUUCCAUGGAAAAUAUUCACCUGACAUUGUUGUUGGUCAAAGGUAAUGGAUGAACUUGCAAUGCACUAGAACUUGGGAAAACAUCAAAUUGAUAGAUGUCGCCAUGUCGAUGUGUGUGUGAAGCCUCUGUAUACGUUGCAUCCUAGUAAAUGAUUAGGCCUGGUUGUCAAAAGAGAAAAAUGAUUAGGCCUGACCUUAAAACCUAUUGACGGCGGUUGGGUUGAGCACGAGGUCGAUGCCGCUGCGCCUCCUUGGCGCCCCCUUUCUUCAACACAUCGUCCAGUGCUGCUAGCUGUGACCUCGCCGUGGCCAGAGAUGCCAGUCAAACUGUGGGCUUGAUGCCUUGCCGGCGGCCGGCCGGGUAGUACGAAGAUGGGAGAUUGGAGAAGAGAGAGAGGAAAGAGAACUGUUGGGAGAAGAGACUUGCUGCUCUAAGAUUCGUUUGGACAGGUGUCGUGUGAGGAAGCAAA